AUCCCAUGAUGCGUACAUUUUCUCAUAAGGUCUUUAAAAUGCUGCAAAACAUCAUAUAAACUCUCAUUAUCCUAUAGAAAAAAACCAAUUAUUUCAUUUCUCAUCUU
rfam:Gossypium hirsutum cultivar TM-1 chromosome 11, whole genome shotgun sequence